GGCGCUUGCCGCGGUUAAAUUUUGUGCAAAGUUAAUCAGUUUAACGGUCAUUUUCUAGCGAGUUAAGUUUCCUUUGUGUGCGUCAAUAAACGGCAAACCACACAUACACACAUGCACACCCACCUGGUUUAAACCUAAGAGGAGAACAGAGAUUGCCUGUGCCUGUGUAUUUGCAUUCCAUUUAUAAUAAACCCCCAAAAGAA